rnacentral:ncRNA from 1 species
UCAUCCCGCUCGCUUGCCGAGCAGGGAGUGCUAGCGCACGGCUGAGGAAAUUACAAAAGCCUCGGGCCACCGUGCCCGAGGCUGUUUACGCGAUAUUCAGCGUUCUGACG